UCCGUGGAGGUCCAGUGGUUAGGACUUGGUGCUUUCACUGCAGUGACCCAGGUUCAAUCCCUGGUCAGGGAA
rnacentral:tRNA from 1 species